ACCUUGUGUGGAGGAAAAUGAGAUCCUGAGUGAAGUCUACAAUGUCAUUGACUCUGAAGAAGGACUCAGAGACCCAUUGGUGUUUAAUGACCCUUGCUGGCCUAUGCAAUGGAAACUGGCUCAACUUUCCUACAUAAUUAAGAAUUUGCAGCUUGGGCAAUGCCAAGAACAUCUGUACUGAAAUCAAUUACAUGUUUGGUGCCGGCAUUCUGAGAGCAUAUCAAGGUUCUGAGUAAGCUCUGCUCUGCUGUUCCUAAAGCAUGGAUAAACUGCAUUGGUAAGAUGGUGCCAGUGAAAAAGAACUGAGGAAUGCUGCCUUCAGGUAUUU